UACGAAGGGUGCAAGCGUUACUCGGAAUUACUGGGCGUAAAGCGUGCGUAGGUGGUUUGUUAAGUCUGCUGUGAAAGCCCCGGGCUCAACCUGGGAAUGGCAGUGGAUACUGGCAAGCUAGAGUGCGGUAGAGGGGUGUGGAAUUCCCGGUGUAGCGGUGAAAUGCGUAGAGAUCGGGAGGAACACCAGUGGCGAAGGCGGCACCCUGGACCAGCACUGACGCUGAAGCACGAAAGCGUGGGGAGCAAACAGG
rnacentral:rRNA from 1 species